rnacentral:rRNA from 1 species
GAUGAACGCUGGCGGCGUGCUUAACACAUGCAAGUCGAACGGAGCUAUGACACGGAGUCUUCGGACGAAGUGCUGUAGCUUAGUGGCGGACGGGUGAGUAACACGUGAGCAACCUACCUUUUGCAGGGGAAUAACUCUGGGAAACCAGAGCUAAUACCGCAUGCCGUGCGCUUGGGGCAUCCCAGGUGCAUGAAAGGAGCAAUCCGGCAGAAGAUGGGCUCGCGUCCGAUUAGGUAGUUGGAGAGGUAAUGGCUCCCCAAGCCGACGAUCGGUAGCCGGACUGAGAGGUCGAUCGGCCACAUUGGGACUGAGACACGGCCCAGACUCCUACGGGAGGCAGCAGUGGGGAAUAGUUGGGCAAUGGGCGAAGCCUGACCCAGCGACGCCGCGUGAAGGGAAGGCUUUCGAGUUGUAAACUUCUUUGGGGAGGACGAAGAUGACGGUCCUCCAGAACAAGCCACGGCUAACUACGUGCCAGCAGCCCGCGGU